rfam:Bacillus sp. LF1 genome assembly, contig: CONTIG000003
GGAAAUGCGAUGAAAAGGACAUGAAUCAUUUGAGUAUUUUCUUUCCAGAGAACAGGGUCAUUGGCUGUAAGCCCUGAAGAAAAUCGAAUGGUUUACCACCUUGGAGCUAUUGUGGGGAAAUGGGUCAACCAGAGUAUCUAUAAUCGGUAAAUCCGUUAUCUUUUUGAGCAAAAAGUAGGCUUUGGCGCACUUUUUGGAAUUAGGGUGGUAUCACGACCGCACUCGUCCCUUUU